CUACGCGCUCGUAACUUGCUCACGAGACCUCCUUGCUGUUGCAACUCUGAGGAUGAUUGCUUCAAAUGUGAAGGAACAAACAACAGUGCCAGCGCUAUAUGUGCAUGAAGACGACGAGAGGGUUCCGCUCACGCCCUGAGUGGUGUAUUCUGGCCACAACCUGGAACAGGCAGAGUUUCUCCGCCUUUGUGUCGACAAGGAGCGGCUGUUCAUGGUCAAAAAUGCGGAGGAAAGAGUCGUCGCAAUCAUGAGUGCA